GGAAUAUAAGAACCCGUCUCUUAACUUUUAACUAAAAAAAUUAAGAACCAGAUUCUUAGCUUUUUUAGUUAAAAGUUAAGAGACAAGUUAUUAUAUUUU
rnacentral:pre_miRNA from 1 species